GGAAAGCCUUACCGUCCCUGGGGAACAGAAAGGGGAUGGGUUAGGGUUGGUAGGGGGAGCUGGAAGGAGGAGAGGGAAUGGGAACUGGGAUUGACAUGUAAAACAAGCUUGUUUCUAAUUUAAUUUUUUUUAAAAAAAGGAAAAAGAAGAAGGGAUGGAAAAGAAUAUGGAGCAUUUACAGAUAUAUCUGGGUCUAUUCAUCUAUUACAUUCAAGCAAACAAUAUUAUAAUUAUAAUUUGGGAAAAUGGAAUAAGUUCCCUCUCAACGCCUGUUCAGUCAGGACACAGAGUCUACUAAGGUCCCACAGAGAGAAUGCAUUCGGUGAUGGCACAGUUGGUUUUUACAGGAGGAAACUGGCAGCUACCCCAAAACAAACUCAGAAGUGAACUGAGGGCAGGAAUGAGAGGGAAAAGGGAGUCAGAGAUCAUGCAGAGAUGUUUUGAAGGGCUUUAUAAAAAGCUAUCUCUGUGGUCUACUGGUCUUACUGUCCAGUAAGGGAAAUUUUAACUUACUGUGAAACAGCUGAUAAAUAACAAAUGGUUUGUUUGUUUGCUUUUAUAGUUGCUGUGUUUAAAGCAAUUGCUGCGGAUUCUUGAGAUUUCUGAUAAGGACCCUGGAAAGGAGUAUGCAAAAGAGUGAAGAUAUAGGGGGGAUAGAAGCUGCUGAGUGGUGAAUGUGAGCUAGGUGGCAUGGCCACCAGACCUGUCUGCAGCCCAUCUCCACACCACAGCUUACAGGUUAGUAAACACUGAAGACUACUGAGAGUCACUCUCAGAUGAGCCAAGCUGCAAGAAAGACUCUCAAAGGAGUUCAACUGCCUGGAAGAAACCAGCCAAGCAACCUGAAAGCAGCAGAAAUGAGCCUGGCUGCCUGGAUGAGCUUUAGACCAACUGAGGCACAUGGAAGGGACACUCUCCAACCCAUUGAGCUGCCUGCAGGCUGUUCAGUAUGCUCCAGAUUCCCAGCUUUUGUGAGCUGUCACCCAUGCUGUGGUGGGCUUUGGUGAGGCAGCUGCUACUGUAUGUAAACCCCCACCCAUAUUCAUGUAAGUAACCCCAAUAAAACUCACAAAUUCACUAAGUUGGAC
rnacentral:lncRNA from 1 species